rnacentral:rRNA from 1 species
GAUAUGGCUCAGGAUGAACGUCUAGCUACAGGCUUAACACGAUAGCAAGUCGAGCGGAACUGCUCGGCAGUUAGCGGCAGACGGGUGAGUAACACGUAUCCAACUUCCCCCUUACUCGGGUAUAGCCUCGGGGAAACUGAGAGUAAUCCCCGAUGUGGUGUACGCUUCGCAUGUAAUGCACACCAAAGAUUAAUCGGUAAGGGAUGGGGAUGCGUUCCGAUUAGCUAGUAGGCGGGGUAACGGCCCACCUAGGCGAUGAUGGAUAGGGGUUCUGAGAGGAAGGUCCCCCACAUUGGAACUGCGACACGGUCCAAACUCCUACGGGAGGCAGCAGUGAGGAAUAUUGGUCAAUGGCCGAGAGGCUGAACCAGCCAAGUAGCGUGCAAGGGAUGACGGCCCUACGGGUUGUAAACUGCUUUUGUGCGGGAAUAACGGUCGACACGUGUGUUGAUGUGCAUGUACCGUACGAAUAAGGAUCGGCUAACUCCGUGCCAGCAGCCGC